rnacentral:rRNA from 1 species
ACAGCAGUCGCCGCGGGGAAUACGUAGGGUGCAAGCGUUAAUCGGAAUUACUGGGCGUAAAGCGUGCGCAGGCGGUUAUAUAAGACAGAUGUGAAAUCCCCGGGCUCAACCUGGGAACUGCAUUUGUGACUGUAUAGCUAGAGUACGGCAGAGGGGGAUGGAAUUCCGCGUGUAGCAGUGAAAUGCGUAGAUAUGCGGAGGAACACCGAUGGCGAAGGCAAUCCCCUGGGCCUGUACUGACGCUCAUGCACGAAAGCGUGGGGAGCAAACAGGAUUAGAUACCCCAGUAGUCCCUGUCUCUUAUU